rnacentral:rRNA from 1 species
CGGAGGGAGCUAGCGUUGUUCGGAAUUACUGGGCGUAAAAGCGCACGUAGGCGGUUAUUCAAGUCAGAGGUGAAAGCCCGGGGCUCAACCCCGGAACUGCCUUUGAAACUAGAUAACUAGAAUCUUGGAGAGGUCAGUGGAAUUCCGAGUGUAGAGGUGAAAUUCGUAGAUAUUCGGAAGAACACCAGUGGCGAAAGGCGACUGACUGGACAAGUAUUGACGCUGAGGUGCGAAAAGCGUGGGGAGCAAACAGGAUU